ncrna:Acidobacteriaceae bacterium KBS 83 nadA RNA
GGUUGCAACAUCCCCGCAGGCUGGGCGAGGCAGACGCUUCGCAGUGAGCCGGCUGCAACC